GAUGAACGCUGGCGGCGUGCCUAAUACAUGCAAGUCGAGCGAGAAUUUUUCAAAUGACACUUCGGUUGAUUUUGGAAAAGGACAGCGGCGGACGGGUGAGUAACGCGUAGGCAACCUGCCCCUGACAGAGGGAUAGCCAUUGGAAACGAUGAUUAAAACCUCAUAACGCCGAAGGAACACAUGCUGCAUCGGCCAAAGAUUUAUCGGGCAGGGAUGGGCCUGCGUCUGAUUAACUAGUUGGUGAGGUAACGGCUCACCAAGGUGACGAUCAGUAGCCGACCUGAGAGGGUGAUCGGCCACAUUGGAACUGAGACACGGUCCAAACUUCUACGGAAGGCAGCAGUAGGGAAUCUUGCACAAUGGGCGAAAGCCUGAUGCAGCAACGCCGCGUGAAGGAUGAAGGCCUUCGGGUUGUAAACUUCUGUUCUUAGGGAAGAAGAAAGUGACGGUACCUAAGGAGAAAGCCCCGGCUAACUACGUGCCAGCAGCCGCAGUAA
rnacentral:rRNA from 1 species